rnacentral:rRNA from 1 species
AAACCCUACGGGGCGCAGCAGUCGAGAAUCAUUCACAAUGGGGGAAACCCUGAUGGUGCGACGCCGCGUGGGGGAAUGAAGGUCUUCGGAUUGUAAACCCCUGUCAUGUGGGAGCAAAUUAAAAAGAUAGUACCACAAGAGGAAGAGACGGCUAACUCUGUGCCAGCAGCCGCGGUAAAACAGAGGUCUCAAGCGUUGUUCGGAAUCACUGGGCGUAAAGCGUGCGUAGGCUGUUUCGUAAGUCGUGUGUGAAAGGCGCGGGCUCAACCCGCGGUCGGCACCUGCUACUGCG